UACAGAGGGUGCAAGCGUUAAUCGGAAUUACUGGGCGUAAAGGGCUCGUAGGCGGCCAACUAAGUCAGACGUGAAAUCCCUCGGCUUAACCGGGGAACUGCGUCUGAUACUGGAUGGCUAGAGUUUGGGAGAGGGAUGCGGAAUUCCAGGUGUAGCGGUGAAAUGCGUAGAUAUCUGGAGGAACACCGGUGGCGAAGGCGGCAUCCUGGACCAACACUGACGCUGAGGAGCGAAAGCCAGGGGAGCAAACGGG
rnacentral:rRNA from 1 species